rnacentral:rRNA from 1 species
AGUGACCCAGGUCUACCACCGGGAUGUUCAUAACCCUUUGUUGUCCGACUCUGUUGCCUCCGGGGCGACCCUGCCUUCGGGCGGGGGCUCCGGGUGGACACUUCAAACUCUUGCGUAACUUUGCAGUCUGAGUAAACUUAAUUAAUAAAUUAAAACUUUUAACAACGGAUCUCUUGGUUCUGGCAUCGAUGAAGAACGCAGCGAAAUGCGAUAAGUAAUGUGAAUUGCAGAAUUCAGUGAAUCAUCGAAUCUUUGAACGCACAUUGCGCCCCCUGGUAUUCCGGGGGGCAUGCCUGUUCGAGCGUCAUUUCACCACUCAAGCCUCGCUUGGUAUUGGGCAUCGCGGUCCGCCGCGUGCCUCAAAUCGACCGGCUGGGUCUUCUGUCCCCUAAGCGUUGUGGAAACUAUUCGCUAAAGGGUGUUCGGGAGGCUACGCCGUAAAACAACCCCAUUUCUAAGGUUGACCUCGGAUCAGGUAGGGAUACCCGCUGAACUUAAGCAUAUCAAUA